rnacentral:ncRNA from 2 species
AAACACCGUGCGGGAGAGUCCCCAAUCCACCGCGUGGAGCCGGGGCGCCGAAGGGGCAAACUCCCCGGAACCUCUCAGGCGCAAAGGACCGCACGGAUCAG